AGCAGCCGCGGUAAUUCCAGCUCCAAUAGCGUAUAUUAAAGUUGCUGCAGUUAAAAAGCUCGUAGUUGAAUUUCGGGACUAAUAUGUCGGUCGUGCCUCGGUACGUACUGGUUUAUUGGUUUCUCCUUUCUGAAGAACCAUGAUGUCAUUUAUUUGGUGUCGUGGGGAAUCAGGACUGUUACUUUGAAAAAUUAGAGUGUUUAAAGCAAGCACACGCUUGAAUACAUUAGCAUGGAAUAAUGAAUAAGGACGUUUGAUUCUAUUUUGUUGGUUUCUUAGGAUCGACGUAAUGAUUAAUAGGGAUAGUUGGGGGCGAUUAGUAUUCAAUUGUCAGAGGUGAAAUUCUUGGAUUUAUUGUAAGACUAACUACUGCGAAAGCAUUUGUCCAAGGAUGUUUUUCAUU
rnacentral:rRNA from 1 species